AUUGAACGCUGGCGGCAUGCUUUACACAUGCAAGUCGAACGGUAACAGGUUAAGCUGACGAGUGGCGAACGGGUGAGUAAUGCAUCGGAACGUGCCCGAUCGUGGGGGAUAACGCAGCGAAAGCUGCGCUAAUACCGCAUACGAUCUGAGGAUGAAAGUGGGGGACCGUAAGGCCUCGCGCGAUCGGAGCGGCCGAUGUCAGAUUAGGUAGUUGGUGGGGUAAAGGCUCACCAAGCCGACGAUCUGUAGCUGGUCUGAGAGGACGACCAGCCACACUGGGACUGCGACACGGCCCAGACUCCUACGGGAGGCAGCAGUGGGGAAUUUUGGACAAUGGGCGCAAGCCUGAUCCAGCAAUGCCGCGUGCAGGAAGAAGGCCUUCGGGUUGUAAACUGCUUUUGUACGGAGCGAAAAGGCUCUCUCUAAUACAGGGGGCUCAUGACGGUACCGUAAGAAUAAGCACCGGCUAACUACGUGCCAGCCGCCGCCGUAAGAC
rnacentral:rRNA from 1 species